GGAAUAUUGCACAAUGGGGGCAACCCUGAUGCAGCAACGCCGCGUGAACGAUGAAGGCCUUCGGGUUGUCAAGUUCUUUUCUGAGGGAAGAUAGUGACGGUACCUCAGGCAUAAGUCCCGGCUACCUACGUGCCAGCAGCCGCGGUAAAACGUCGGGGGCGAGCGUUAUCCGGAUUUAUUGGGCGUAAAGCGCACGUAGGUGGCGCGGCAAGUUGGACGUGAAAGCUCUUGGCUCAACUGAGAGAGGUCGUUCAAAACUGCAGCGCUUGAGGUUGGAAGAGGAGAGUGGAAUUCCCGGUGUAGUGGUGGAAUGCGUAGAUAUCGGGAGGAACACCAGUGGCGAAGGCGGCUCUCUGGUCCACACCUGACGCUGAGGUGCGAAAGCGUGGGGAGCGA
rnacentral:rRNA from 1 species